GGAAAGGUGUCCGAGUGGUUUAAGGAGCUAGUCUUGAAAACUAGUGAUACCGCAAGGUACCGUGGGUUCGAAUCCCACCCUUUCCGCCA
rnacentral:tRNA from 2 species